AUGGAGGCGAACCAAGAGAAGGCUCCGGAGACUGCCACCGGCGGCGACGCCCCGAGGCCGGUGCGAGCGGUGUGCGUCUUCUGCGGCAGCAGGCCUGGCAACCGGCCGUCCUUCAGCGCCGCCGCCCUCGACCUCGGGAAGCAACUGGUGGAGAGGCAGCUCGAUCUCGUCUACGGCGGCGGCAGCGGCGGCCUGAUGGGCCUCGUGUCCAAGGCCGUCCACGACGGCGGCCGCCACGUCCUCGGGGUCAUCCCUAGUGCUCUCCUGCCGGAAGAGGUGUCAGGGGAGACGUUGGGAGAGGUGAAAGUGGUCAGGGACAUGCAUGAGCGCAAGUCAGAAAUGGCAAAACACUCGGACGCCUUCAUCGCACUGCCAGGCGGAUAUGGGACGAUCGAAGAGCUGCUGGAGAUCAUAACGUGGGCGCAGCUGGGGAUCCAUAACAAACCUGUGGGGCUGCUCAACGUGGACGGCUACUACAACAGCCUGCUUUCGCUGUUCGACAAGGGCGUCGAGGAGGGCUUCAUCGACGACGCGGCGCGCAACAUCUUCGUCCUCGCCGACAACGCCGCCGACCUGCUCACCAAGCUCACGGCCGCGGCGGUGGCGGCCCACGUUGACGACGGCGGCGACGACCGCAACGGCACGGCGGCCGCCGGCGUCAAGAGGAAAAGAGGCUAG
rnacentral:rRNA from 1 species